rnacentral:pre_miRNA from 1 species
UUAACUCAAAUAUGUAUGGAGUUGGAACGUUUGCCUACGUUUGCCGCUAGGGGCGCUGCUCAGACUCCAUACAAAUUUGGGUUA